CAGGGCGCGUAGGGCCCCUGCUGCGUCUCGCAGGGGCAGGCGGCGGGCCUGGAGCCGACCGCAGGGCCAGCCCAGCUGUGGCUUCACCAGGACCUAGAGGCGCGCGGGCCACCCGGGCCGAGCACACCCGCCCUGGAGCACUAGCCGGCGGGACCGGGCCCCGUUUCCUCGCUAGGGAAAUCUUCCGCAAAAGGACUGACUCCUUUCCGAGGAGAAUAAGAACGCAUCAUUCCUGGUGCCUGACCUUCUCUCCUAAAGAAAAUGAGUCUCCCCUGGAGCUUAAGCCAUAUUUUCCUUCCUUCUUUCCUCCCCCCUGUUCGGACACCCCUAAUUGACAGGCUCUAAUCCUCGGAUCGGAACUACUUCUGCCGAGAAGAUUUGGCCGGCUUUUCCUUUUCUCUCAGCAUUCCUGAAAAGCCAAUUCGUUCUGAGCUUCAUUGAUGGCGGGCUGGGGGAGGAGGGCUACUUCCAACUUCUGGCACCACCUGGGUGGUCGCCAUAACCCAACAAUUCCUUUACAGCUGUUUAUUCUCCUCGACUUUAUAAAGGUUGUUUUGCAUGGAAUAGUUAAAGAAGGUUUAAGUAGUCUAUUUUGGCAUUGAUCUUGUGUGUGUGUCCGGGGUGGGUUACACUCAUUGAUUUACAUUUAUCUAUAUUCAAUUGGACUAUGAGAUUUUUGAGGGUAAUGGUGUAUUACCCAGUUCGAAGGCUCUAGAUCCCAGUACCUGGCAAAUAAACUCGACUUGUGCAUUCAAUUAUGUUGAAUUCAACUGAACCAGCUUUCUGCAUGAAGCUUUCCAAACUUCAUCAGACACAUUUAAAACUGUUAGGUAAAGCCGUCCAAGAAAUAAGGAAAAAAGGAGAAAACAAAAGGAGGUUGGAAGAGGGAAUCACAGAAUAAUUUCAGAUCCUUUGAAAGACAUAGGUUAGGGUUAGAUUUUCAAAGGUAAACCAGACAGAUAUUACCUGAGAAUACAGAAAUCCAAAACCAUCAUUAAACUCCUUGAGUUCAUAGCGUUUUCCAGGUUAAUGAUGCCAACCUUCCUUAAUAUGUAACAUUCUCUAACUUUGAAUUAUCUUUAUUACUUUUCUAGUGUGCAAAUCUUCAGCUGUGAACAAAAGACUUAAGUGAACACAGAUUGUUCAGAUCUAGAAAAUGGAAACUGCUGAUUUGGAUAUGAUUUGUCUUCUAAGGGUUCAUUAUUGCAGAUUUGGCCCUUACUUUGGCAAUGUUAGAAGGUGGUGGAAACUUUUUAAGAGUCCAGUUGUAGAAAUGACUGAAGCUAAAGAGAAUAAAUGGCCUACCAGUCAAAACUCAAAUAAAAUCAUCCAUUUCCACAAGACUAUGAAGAUAAACAAGCACUUAGAAGACCUAGUCAUCUCACCUUCUCUAUCGUGUUCAUGUGGAAGCCUGUCUUGGUGAUGCUGCUCCUGGAAUUCUGUCAUUGCUCUCAGUAACCAGUGCAACAGAACCCAGCAGGUGUGGGAGCCUGGCAUAGUGAUGUAGUUAUGGAGAACCAAAAACACCUAGAGCAGCCACCCAAUAUCUGACAAGACAAUGUCAGGUUUCCCCUUGCAAGUAGGUAGGCAUGGAAUUUUUAUUUUGCUACAAAACACAAAAGUUUCCUUUUGGGGUAGUGUCGCAACCCCUGUGGUUGGGAUUUGGAGGGUUCUCUGUCUUUGUGGAUUUUUCAUGCUUUUUGUAAUUGCUUGAAUUCCCUUCACAGCUGGAUUCCUGAAGAUGAGCUGAACUAAUGCCUCCUCACCUAAUGCAUCCAGCAGCCCUUUCUUUAUUAGAUAACCUAAUCUCCAGUUUCUUACACAGGCAACCUUUUCGCUUUCAGCAUUUAGGUCAAACACAGAGUAUUCUUCUUUUAUGUAAAGUGGUGUCAGACAUCUGAAACUUUAGUGGAUUUCUGCAAUCCUUCAGUAGGGGUGUGUUUGUGUGUGUGUGCGCGUGUGCUGUGAAAUCAUGUUUUAAAUCCUUAAGGUAAGAAUUUUAAUGAGAAACAACUGCAAAGGAGCUCAUUUUCUGAAUUUGUGUCACUACUUUAUUUUGAAAAAACGAGGUUUUGCUAACACCGGCCAGUUUUGACCAGGGUUGAGAAGAAGGAGGGUUGUUUUGAGUGUCUGAGCAGAAUUGGAAAAAUAAGUGAACACUCUUAAAGAGAAAGGACACGCUCUCUCUAGUGAAGAAACAGGAGAACGUUCAGCCAUCCCACUAGGCCAGUGUUUUCCCAGCUCUGCAGCACUCUUGUAAAUUUGUAAAUUUGCCACAGCUCACUUGUAAAUUUGCCAGGGUGGCAGGGACACAUGACUCUUGGCUGGGAGGCAUGCCAGCUAUCAGAAGCCCCCAACUCUCAGGAGGGAGAAGGGGGCGGGUGCUCAGAGACCACCCUGGGUUAUAUUUAUUUUGGGGGAUUCCUGCUGGUACUGAUAGCAAAUCUCCCUGGACAGAUGCAGCUCACAUUGGAAUGUCUUGUUGAGAAUUCCCUCAACUCCCCAGUAUCAGAACUAGCACCUUAUAAAAUAAACCCUCACAUUACAACCAAAGAUGGAUUAUCCAUUUCAUGGUAGAUGGAACUGCCCAAGAUGGCUGUGGUAAGAUCUCACAUCACACACACUCUUCUUACAAAUUGAUGUGGAAACCCUUCUGAGAAAGCACUGUGAUUUGUAUUCCCUCUUCUCAAAUCUGAGAAGGCUUGUGACUGUGGUGGAAGUGACACUGUGUGACUUCUAAAGCUAGGUCAUAAAGGAAGAUCUAGUUUCUACCUGGUUCUCGCGAGACACUUGCUCUUGGAACCUUGCCACCAUGCUGUGAAGAAUCCAAGCAGUCACAGACUGAGGCCCCACAUAGGUGUUCCAGAUGACAACCCCAGCUUCGAUCCCUCUUGUCAGCCAGCAUCACUCACCAGUCAAAUGCACAAGUGACCUUCAGGUGAUUCCUCAGUCCCUAGGACCUGAGGAACUAAGCUGUCCCUGCUGAGCCCUGCCCAAAUUGCAGGUGUGUGUGUGUGUGUGUGUGUGUGUGUGUGUGUGUGUGAGAGAGAGAGAGAGAGAGAG